AGCCUAGAGCUUGGGAGAUUUGUCUUCCAACUAUUUAUCAGCAAGUCUUCCCCCUAGGUAACCUCAAUAUCAGAUCUGUAUGUGUUGUUUCUUAGACAUCUUUCAUCUUUCAGGCAGUUAACGAUUUAGAUCACCUGCAUUUGACUUGGCAGAGCUUCUUUCAUUGUUUAUUGUGUAUAUCUAACAAUACAUGAAGAACAUCAAGGAAUAAGUAAUGAAAAAUCUAUGCUUGACUAGCUAAUGAACAAUCAGAGUGGAUGAGUUUGAAACCCCAUCUAGAAUUUGAACACAUAUAUUUUGCCCGGUGAGGCUGUUUAUCUUGGUUUUUGUUUAAGAAUUUCAUUUUAUUGUUGCCAUUUGAUUCUUGAUCCUGUUCUGACUUCUGGGCUUUGCUUGUUUCCAUUUGAUUGCCUUUUUGUGGGUUCUAAAUGAACAUUAAUGGGCUUGCUUUACAUGAAUUUUUGUAUUUGCCUAAUGGUUUUGUUUAACUAUCAUAUAGUUUUGAGUUUAGAGUGAGUGAAUUUAUGGAUUUUUACUGGCAAUUGAAAAGCUGGAAGAGUUUUUGUCUGGAACUGAAUAUGGUACGUUCGUCAAAUCCUGUUAGAUAUAGGGUUUAGGGUUUAUGUGUGUGAUAUAUAUGAUGCACUCAUAACAUUGUUAAUUGUCUUUCUAAUUAUAUAUGGUCAGACUGAGCGAAGCAUCGCAUUCUCAAAGAAGGACCCAAAUAGUUUGAAGCCUGGCCCGACGUUGAACAAAGAUGGCAUGCUUGAUCUCACCAUUUUUAUCUGUAUCCUUGAACGAAAGAAAGACGAGGUACCUGCUCCUUGUUCUAUUGCUAUAUCUCAGGUUUGUUUCAUGUGAUUCAAGUUAACAAAUACUUUCUCACCUAUGAGCCUCUUGGUUGUUUUGCUGAGCAACGAAGCUGAGACAAGUGCGAACUCACUCUAAAGUGAGUUCAACUACUCUGAAUCUGGAUUGAAGGACUCUACUUAUUGAUGCCGUCAUGACUCAACCGAUCUCUUGAAUUUAGUCAUUGUGCAACAGAGGUUAUUCGUAAGGAAGGAUUGCUGUAUCAAGGGAAGGGUUGCAACCGUGGGGAGGAAGAGUCUUGAUGUUAAAAUUUUGAUGGGUUUAUCUGUAAAUUUUUAGUUACUGUAGUUUGAUACAUUUUAAAAUACAGUAUACAGUACAUUAAUGUAGAGGUGCCAGUUGGCACCUUAUUUUUU